rnacentral:rRNA from 1 species
UACGUAGGGUGCGAGCGUUAAUCGGAAUUACUGGGCGUAAAGCGUGCGCAGGCGGUGAUGUAAGACAGGUGUGAAAUCCCCGGGCUUAACCUGGGAACUGCAUUUGUGACUGCAUCGCUGGAGUGCGGCAGAGGGGGAUGGAAUUCCGCGUGUAGCAGUGAAAUGCGUAGAUAUGCGGAGGAACACCGAUGGCGAAGGCAAUCCCCUGGACCUGUACUGACGCUCAUGCACGAAAGCGUGGGGAGCAAACGAGG